CCUACGGGCGGCAGCAGUGAGGAAUAUUGGUCAAUGGGCGGGAGCCUGAACCAGCCAAGUCGCGUGCAGGAUGACGGCACUGCGGGUUGUAAACUGCUUUUAUCAGGGAAUAACGCCCCUUACUUGUCGGCCUUUGCGGGUACCUGAUGAAUAAGCACCGGCUAAUUCCGUGCCAGCAGCCGCGGUAAUACGGAAGGUCCGGGCGUUAUCCGGAUUUAUUGGGUUUAAAGGGAGCGUAGGCCGCCUGUCAAGCGUGCUGUGAAAUGUCCGGGCUCAACCCCGGCCUUGCAGUGAGAACUGGCGGGCUUGAGUCAGAGGAAAGCAGGCGGAAUGCGCCGUGUAGCGGUGAAAUGCUUAGAUAUGACGAAGAACCCCGAUUGCGAAGGCAGCUUGCCGCCGCCGCACUGACGCUGAUGCUCGAAAGCGCGGGUAUCGAACAGGAUUAGAUACCCGAGUAGUC
rnacentral:rRNA from 1 species